CCAAUAACAACUAUUGAUAGCUUUAGGCAUAUGUAUGUGUUUAGUAACUUCAGGGAUGGAUUUAACCUGGAAACUUAAGCAGAUUGCAUGUAACUUGCAUUCUAGAAAAUAUGCACAGAGCAUUCCGUUGUGGGCCUGACCCAACCAAUAAAGCCUCAGGACAGGAAGUCCGAGAUUUAGCUAGCAGUCCACCUGAGAGCUCCCUCUGUAAGACAGCACACAGUUAAUACAGGUAUGCUUUAUUUAGAAUUUGAGAUGAGUUUUAA
rnacentral:lncRNA from 1 species